GGCAACAUGGCCGAGUGGUCUAAGGCGCCAGAAUCAGGUAACUGUAUCUGGUCUUCGGGCGUGGGUUCGAAUCCCACUGUUGUCA
rnacentral:tRNA from 1 species